AAUAGAUACCCAGGUAGUCCACGCCGUAAACGAUGAAUACUAGGUGUAGGGGUUGUCAUGACCUCUGUGCCGCCGCUAACGCAUUAAGUAUUCCGCCUGGGAAGUACGGUCGCAAGAUUAAAACUCAAAGGAAUUGACGGGGGCCCGCACAAGCAGCGGAGCAUGUGGUUUAAUUCGAAGCAACGCGAAGAACCUUACCUAGACUUGACAUCUCCUGAAUUACUCUGUAAUGGUGGAAGCCCUUCGGGGCAGGAAGACAGGUGGUGCAUGGUUGUCGUCAGCUCGUGUCGUGAGAUGUUGGGUUAAGUCCCGCAACGAGCGCAACCCUUAUUGUUAGUUGCUACCAUUAAGUUGAGCACUCUAGCGAGACUGCCCGGGUUAACCGGGAGGAAGGUGGGGAUGACGUCAAAUCAUCAUGCCCCUUAUGUCUAGGGCUACACACGUGCUACAAUGACUGGUACAGAGAGAUGUUAAACCGCGAGGUGGAGCCAAACUUUAAAACCAGUCUCAGUUCGGAUUGUAGGCCGAAACUCGCCUACA
rnacentral:rRNA from 1 species